rnacentral:rRNA from 1 species
AUUGAACGCUGGCGGCAUGCUUUACACAUGCAAGUCGAACGGUAACAGCACUUCGGUGGCUGACGAGUGGCGCACGGGUGAGUAAUACAUCGGAACGUGCCUAGUAGUGGGGGAUAACUACUCGAAAGAGUAGCUAAUACCGCAUGAGAUCUAAGGAUGAAAGCAGGGGGACCUUCGGGCCUUGCGCUACUAGAGCGGCUGAUGGCAGAUUAGGUAGUUGGUGGGAUAAAAGCUUACCAAGCCGACGAUCUGUAGCUGGUCUGAGAGGACGACCAGCCACACUGGGACUGAGACACGGCCCAGACUCCUACGGGAGGCAGCAGUGGGGAAUUUUGGACAAUGGGCGCAAGCCUGAUCCAGCAAUGCCGCGUGCAGGAUGAAGGCCUUCGGGUUGUAAACUGCUUUUGUACGGAACGAAAAGCCCUCUUCUAAUACAGGAGGGUCAUGACGGUACCGUAAGAAUAAGCACCGGCUAACUACGUG